rnacentral:misc_RNA from 1 species
CGUUGGUCACGCCGAGCAGCACAUCCUUUUCCUGCUGCGCAAAGCCCUUAACGGAAUUGACGAGGUUCGGCACCAGAUCGGCGCGGCGCUGAUACUGGUUCACGACUUCUGACCAUGCCGACUUCACCGAUUCAUCGUUCUGCUGGAUCGCAUUGUAUCCGCAAUUGGUGAGGCUCAGCGACGCGAGCGCUGCAAGGACGGUCAAAAUCUUGCGCAUAAAUAUCUCCAGUAAAACGCCGAAC